UUGUGUCAAUGAUGUGGUUUUUUACCUACAUUUUUUGAUGGUUUGUGAGAAAAACAACAAACUGAGACACAA